rnacentral:lncRNA from 1 species
AUGAGUUUAGGGAGAUUGGGAUGGAGAUGGAGGUAUCAGAAUGGACAUGGCAUCUCUUCCCCACCAAAGAUUCCUGCUUCCCUGGAAAGAGAAAAUCGCAGGAGCAAUUUUCCACCAAGGAAAAUAUAUGAUUUGGGAGAGAGUUCUGGACCUGGAGUAGAAGAUCUGAGUUUAAAAAGUCUGUCUCAGACACUUACUAUGUGACCUUGGACAAGUCACAUUCUAUUUGCCCCAGUUUCUUCAUUUGUUAAAUGAUAAUAAUAACAUCUACAAUCCAGUGGUACCUCCCUACCAGUGGUGGUUGUGAGGAUAAAAUUGAUAAUAUUUUUUAAAUGCUUUGUAAAUUUUCCAAUGCUACAUAAAUGCUAUU